UGCUUCCGUUUUGUCCUCCUUAUAUAUCCAUUUUCCAUACCUCCUCCUAAUUAAGGGUAGGGUAAAAGACCUGGCACGGACUUUUUCCAUAUUGCCACACUCCCCCCCCCUGGAGAAGACAACCUAUGGUUGAGAAAAAGUACUCUGCGGCAGUGGGAAAACAUGGUUUAAUGUUGCAUACAUGCACUGUGCGAACAUCCUCACCUGUGGAUUCCAGCGAUAUGCGAUAGUUCACUGGUCCCACCUGUUUCAAAAUACGCCUUGGUUUGGAGUUCAGCAAGAUGAUGAACUGUGUCAUAGGAUGGACAGUCCGGAGUAAGAUUAGUGCCAUGCAGCAAUUUGUCCAUGGGGCUUUGUAGCUUCCUCCCCAAAUGAAGCUCUGC